CAAGACACAGAAAAAACAAAAUAUACAACCCAAUCAAUAGAAAUAUAUAAAUAACUCUGGAAACAAAAAAAAAAAGGAGGAAAAAUAAUUGCGUACAAAAAUAUAGCUUUAAAAAUUGUACUGUACACUGAUUUCUUAUAAGACAACCUGAAGGAUGAAUCAAAGCAAAAAAAAAAACAGGCUAAUUAUUGCCUUCAAAGAAACAUAUAUUAACUUUCAUGUCAUUGUCAGUAAUAAUCGAUUGCAUAAUACAAAAAUAUCUCAACAGAAAGUAGUCAACACAAGAUACCUUCAUUACCUGCAGACUAAAGACAAACACAAGGAUAUUUACACAAGAGAAAUGACAUCUUUACCCUACUGAGAGUUAAUAGUAGCCUACUUGUAUUACAAAACUGAGACGUGGACAUGACUAACUAAAGCACUUUAGUAUUGGAGAAAUACAGA